GGGCUAGCGGCUCCGGCACAUCCCCCGCCAGCGGCGGCCCCCAGCUGUCUCGGAGCUCCCGGCGCGGCUGCGUCCGCGGGACCAAUCAAAGGCACCGACUUCCAGCAACCACCGAGGCGGCGCGGCCGGAAGGGACCGAGGCAGCGCCCUUCUAGCCCGCCCCCGCCUGCCUCUAUGGUUCCGCUCCGCGCGCCCCGCCCCCAGUGGCUGGGCCUCGCCUGUGCGGAAGAGGGGGAGUUAGAAGUGCCAGUCAGAAGUCAGUUGGAAGGCGAGGGGCGUGCACGGUUUUGUAGACUAAUACAUAAGUAGGCAGGCAGAAGUGAGGUGAAGGACUGUUGCUGUAUCAGUACCUGUAAGAAAACAUGCAAGCCAGUUUCUGCAGUCAUACAGUAUACAUACAAGAACUGUAUGGCUUCAAUGAAUAUGUCCAAAUGCAAUGACAACUGCAUGAAAAAAAAGAACAUCGAUUACAAAGAACACCAGUGUUGUUGCUGCCAGGAAGAAAAAAUUGAGACUCGCUCUGGGACUCUCAUUUGCAAUGAGAAAACCAUAGAUUUCAAAUACAAAAAUGUCUUGUCUUGCACAUGCAAAAAUUGCAAUGAACUAUAAGAUACUAUGA